rnacentral:hammerhead_ribozyme from 1 species
AUCCCACUGACGAGCCCCAAAUAGGACGAAACGCGCGUUGUGGAU